GACAGAGGUGCCAAGCGUUAGGCGGAAUCACUGGGCUUAAAGUGUGUGUAGGCGGGUGCCUAAGUACCUUGUGAAAUCCCCCGGCUCAACCGGGGAACGGCUGGGUAUACUGGGUGCCUUGGGUCAUCUAGGGGCUGCCGGAACAAAUGGUGGAGCGGUGAAAUGCGUAGAUAUCAUUUGGAACGCCAACGGCGAAAGCAGGCAGCUGGGGAUGCACCGACGCUGAGACACGAAAGCCAGGGGAGCGAACGGG
rnacentral:rRNA from 1 species